CUUGACUUUAGAAAGUCAAGAAGAAGUAAAGUUUGGGUUCAUACCUCAGUGUAACAGACCUUAAGUUAUUAUUUGGCCUGCUCUAAAGAGUUAAGCGCUGCAACGUUAUCACGUAGGUUCUCAUAUCGAAUGGUGAAUCCGACUGGAAAAUGUUUGCUAAUCUAGAAUACACGAGCAUCAUAUUCCAAUCCCCCGUGAGAGUUCAGGGAACUGGGAAGACGACUACCCCUCUCAACUCGACCGAUUCAUGAAGACCAAGCUCUAAGAAGCGACGAUCACCUAAUAGCUUGCACUGUCCUCCCGAUAUUCAUGUAACUCCUUACGAAAAUCAUAACUGUAAACUGCGCCCGAUACAUAAGCGGCCAUUUACAGAAGUAUUAGCGGUUCUGAGUGACUGUUCCCAUAAUAUAAUCAUAGGUAUAGCUUGGAGCUAUGAAGGGAAAAGGUUGUCCAUACUAACGCUAUACACGUCUCGCCUGGGAAAGCUGCUACGAACAUAAGCUAGCUAUCGAUAUAACGGCGUAAAGGCUAUUUCAACCGAGGCUGGACCACUUAAAAUGACAAAUAUUGCGGUAUUUUGGGAGGAUGGUAACCGACACCUCUAUUCUAUUUAUUCUUUAUACCUGUGCAUGUGUAAACAAACGAAUAACAAAAUAAUGUUAAAAAGGAGGAAAUUAUUAAUCAGGUAGCGUAGGGUAUCCCUGAAUAAUACUAUAAACAGCCUAUUCUAUCAAAUGUUUGAGUGUGGAUGAGGUAAAAGAAUUUACUUACAAAAUUUACUACAGGAGAACAUACUAACAUUGAGAAAUAUUUUGAGCAAGUAUUUUAUCAUUUAUGAACAAGUAUUAUGUAAAUAUGUAAGUUUAACGAACCUUAUCAGUGGUGUAUAUGAGCGCUAAUUUUAUUUCUGCAAAAAACACUGAGCUAUGAUUUUUAGCAUUCGGCAGGUAUCUUACUGGGGAAUAUGCGUUUUGAUUCGGUAAAAUUUAAUUCUUUAAACCUUAUCCAAGUUACUGAAGGAGAAAUACUUGAAAAGCACCUAUAGAAUAGUGAGUAUAAAUUCUGUAAUUGGUUAAUGGUUUUUUGCUAUUAUCGGGCUUGCUAUUUUAAAUGCAUAAGAAUUUUAAUAUAAUAAAUGACCUAGCACUAUUCCCAGUCUAUUAUACUUAUUUCAACAAAAAAUACAACAGCCAAUUCCUUUAACGACAUUGAGAUAUUUAAUAGAUUUUGCUUUAAAAAUAAGUAUAUUCUCUGGGAAAGGUCACAGGCGCUAGUUCAGGGUGCAUAACCGAAAUUACUAGCUGCCACCGCUCUUUUAAUUUGUUAGGAAUAACUUCACAGAAAAUUCACUAAUAUCUUUGUAUAUAGUUAUAAUCAUUAACAUAUAAUUAAUAUAAUAAAAAAAAACUUCAUUAAUAUCUUCACAAAUAGCUUUACAUACAUCGUCGUAAGUAAAGGCUAUAAUGGAUAUUCGCGCUCGUAAUGCUCGAUGCGCAUACUACCAAUACAGGUGCCUUAAAAAAUAUAUGUAAAGAUCUUCUUAAUAUCAAUCCUUUUUUAACUGAACUCAAAACGUAUGAUUAGCUGCAAUAUGUUUAAUUAGAACAUUUGAUGUACAUAAAAACUGUGUACGAUGAUCACAAAACAGGUUUUUUUUUAAUUGGAUUAUACCGAGCAUGUUAGAUGGUACAUAAGCAAUUAUGAAAACCAUUUAAUCUUUGCUGCUAGGCAUUAACGGAAGAUUAUGUAUGUAUAUAUAUGUAUAGAACAAUGCUAUUAACGAAUCUUUUAAUAGGUACAUUGAAACAAUGUAAAAAUAAACUUACCAGACA